rnacentral:lncRNA from 10 species
UUUUAAUCUAUAUCUUUUUUAGUUUUAUAUAUACAUAUGCAGUUUUUGACCAAAAUUAAUAUCAUAAUGAACAUAUUUAUUUUUUUAAUUUACUUUUAUGACUUAAAAGAGUAAUUGAAAAUUAUGUGUUUAGCAAUAAAACCUGGAAAGACUGAUGGCAGUUCAACUUACAGUUUGCUCUUGCCCUUUGAAGAGGAUGUAUCUCUUUCACUUGAUUUUACUUUUUAAAACUUUUCUCAAUUCUUAAUAAUUAUGUUUUCUUCCUCACUUUUUGAGAAUAAUGGUGUCAAAUUGCUAAAAAAAAAUCACCACUUUGGAAAGAAACCAGAAUAUUUUCCUUCAACAGGAAUCUGGGGUGAAAUGAAUAAAUUAUGUAAGUUCAAGUUAUUGAGCAAUUUUUCCCUGUGAGUGGACAAGUAUUUGAAAGAAAUAAAGAAUACUAGAUCAAUGCAGCAAGUGGAUCUAAGAAAGUAUGAUGUACCAUUAUAGAAUGUUUACCUGGCAUUCAAGAAGAUAAUUCAAAGCUACUAUAGCAAUAACUAAAGAGACGGGAUCUCCCUCUGUCACCCAAGAUGGAGUGCAAUGGUGCGAUCAUGACGCACUGCAGCCUUGAAACCCCUGGGUUCAAGCUAUCCAACCUCAGCCUCCCCAGUAGCUGGGACUACAGGUGUGUACCACUACACCUGGCUAAUUUUUAAAGUUUUUUGUAGAGAAGGAGUCUUGCUAUGUUGCCCAGGGUGGUCUUGAACUGUACCCUCAAGUGAUCCUCUCACCUUGGCCUCCAGAAGUGCUGAGAUUAUAGGUGUGAGCCACUGCACCUGGCCUGAAUCCUUAAUAUUAAUAUAUAUAUAUUUUUGAGACAGAGUCUUGCUCUGUCACCCAGGCUGGAAUGCAGUGGUGUGAUCUCGGCUUACUGCAACCUCCGCCUGCCACAUUCAAGCAGUUCGCCUGCCUCAGCUUCCCAAGUAGCUGGGACUACAGGCGUGUGCCACCAUGCCCGUCUAAUUUUUUUAUAUUUUUGGUAGAGACAGGGUUUCACCAUGCUGGUCAGGCUGGUCUCGAACUUCUAACCUCAUGAUCCUCCCACCUCGGCUUCCUAAUUUAAUAUUAAUUUGUAUAGCAAUUUUAUAUAAAUUAAUAUUUAAUUUGUAUACAAAUUAAAUAUUAAUUUGUGUAGCAAAUGUUUAGUGAUCUAAUAGAUGUAGGUUGGAAGAGCUUAUGUUGAAGUAAUCUCUGCAUAUAGCAUAGUGCUUACUAGCUCAGGCUUUGUAGUUAAUAAGCCUGGAUUUUAUAUCCAGGUCUUCUUUACAAGCUGUGUGGCCUUGGGCAAGUUAUGUAAACUCUCUUAGCCUCCUCAUCUUUAAAAUGGUAACAUUAUUUUAGAGAGUUUUUGUGAGAAUUAAAUUAGGUGAUGAAUAUAUGUAAGUUAAGAAUAGCUGUCUCACAAUAAUCUUCAUCUUAGUUAUUAUCUGUGCUAUGAUGUUUAUUGUUGGAAGAGUUCAAUUAUAAUGUAAAGAAUCUUUAGCUAAAAGUUUAAGCAACAUAAUAUACCUGAUUGACAAAAAUGUCUUCAAAAUAACUUUUUGAAAGACACAUUUAUUUUGCUAAACGAAAUAAUGCUGUAGAAAGAUUCCACAGGUUUUUACUAUCAUCUAAUGUCCUGGGAUCCAAUGAAAAAGACUAAAAUUUGUGGUUGAAAAGAUUUUUUAAAAUCACCAAAAACUUGGAGAUAAGGCCAAUGAAGUACAGCAUGACCUUUCAACAUCAACCUGGGGAAUUGGUUAAUACGCCCAUCCAAUUAAUAUCAAAUUAUUCAGAGCUACACUGUCCAAUAUUUUAGCCAUUGACUAUAUGUGGUUAUUGAGCACUUGGAAUGUGGCUAGUCAAAAGUGAGAUGUGGUUUAAGUGCAAAAUUUUGGAGUACAAAUACAAUUUCCAUUUUUAAUGCAAUGAACAAAGAAUCUUAGUAGAAAAUCUACCCACCUCAGCCUCCCAAAGUGCUGGGAUUAUAGGCGUGCACCACUGCGCCUGGCUGAGAAUAUUCUUGAUAUAUUGAGUUACAUAAUUUUUUUGUUAAAAUUGUUUUCACUUUUUUUUUUUUUAACGUACCUGCUAGAGAAUUUCAAAUCACAUAGUGGCUUAAAUUAUACUUCCAUUUGAUGGUGGUGGUUUAAAGGAAUGCAGCUCUGUAUGACUCACUGUUUACCAUUAACUAAGGUCCUGACUCUCUAAAAUUACAUGUUACGUGGUAGAUUUCAUUCCAGUAGGAAUGCAAAUGAUUUCUCUCUGGUAGAGAGGAUAAUUCCAUCGCUUAUGAUUUUAUUGUCCUGAAAGAUAAGCAGCUUUGUAAAUAACCUAGGAAGCCCAUAAAAACAUUUUUUAAACAUGUGUACAAAUAUCCAGAACUUCAAAAUGGCCUUUUAUCCACCUUUCUUAUUUUCUUGAUUCCCUCAUUGAAGAGUUAUAAAUCUUUGCUAUGUGUUCAGGCUAGUGAUUUAAUAGAUUUUUGUUUGUUUGUUUGUUUGUUUUGAGACAGAGUCUCACUCUGUUGCCCAGGCUGGAGUGCAGUGGCGUGAUCUCGGCUCAUUACAACCUCCAUCUCCCAGGUUCGAGCAAUUCUCCUCCUCAGCCUCCUGAGUAGCUGGGAUUAGAGGUGCAGGCCACUACGCCCGGCUGAUUUUUGUAUUUUUAAGUAAAGAUGGGUUUCAUCAUGUCGGCCAGGCUGCUCUUGAAUUCCUGACCUCAAGUGAUCUGCCUGUCUCAGCCUCCCAAAAUGCUGGGAUGACAGGCGUGAGCCACCGUGCCCGGCUUAAUAGAUAUUUUAGAAGGCUUAAAAUAUUUCAUUUUCAACUAAUAAUAUACAUGAAAGUUAUUGUCUGACUUUCCGAAAAUUAUAUACUUUGAUGCAGGUAAGUCCUUAUUAUAUUACAAAUAUAUAAUAACGUUAAAUUAGCUUGGCUUUUACUGCCCUUCUUCUGUUAACUAACAGCAUGAUAAUUUUCCUAAAUCCAGCUAUGACAUAAUCUAGUAUUGUUCUGAAAGUCACUUUGUAAUCCAGAAUUCACAAACUACACAAAGAUAAAUAUAACCGGAAGUUUAUAGAUUGCUGUUAUCUGUUGUUUGCAAGGAUGUGAGCAUAGAUAUCAUAGUUUUAUGUUAAUGUAGGCUAUUUAUUUCAUGCUGCUUUGAGCAGCUAAUCAUUAAUGUUCUCAGCAAGCCUUAAAGUUAAGCCGGUAUUUGUCUGGCUCUGAUGAAAAGACAUAGACUUACCAAUAAUUUAAGCGCAAGCAUUUCCUUAAAAGUUUCAUUUUUUACCUCAUGUGGUGGUAUUUCUACCUCAUGUGGUCGUAAUUCUACUUUAAGUUCAAUGAACAAGAAUCUUAAAAUUUUAACAUUCCUGACAGAUGCAAAACAGUGGAAGUACAUAUGACUCCACAGAGGUGUUAAUUUAUAAAUAAAAGUUAGUGCUUACCUAGAAAUCAAACUUGGUUCUCUUCAACUGCUAGUGGAUGACUUUGAUUUUUGUGGGCUCCCCAGAGUGGGAAUCAAUAACUAAGUUAUCUAUAUUUUAUACAGCUCUCAGACUAUUGGAGUGAAGUCAUUCAUUGAAAACUAUUUAUAAGCAUCUACUGUACAUCAGCUACUCUCCUUGGCACUGGGACACAACAGCAAACACAUGACAAAAUCCCUUCCUUCAUGAGGUUUCUCUAUUAUUUGGAGAGGCCCAGUAAUUGGAAAAGGGUAGUUGGAGAUGAACACAAAGAAAUAACCAGGACUACAUAAUGAAGGGCAUUAGAAGAACUUUGGCUUAAGAUGUAAAGACAUUGGAGGGUUCUAAGCAGAAGAGUAAUAUGAUAAAAAUUGCAUUAAAAAAAGUCAGACAGACAAGUCUGCUGUUGUGUUGAGGAUAGACUGAGGUGGGUGUUACCUCCAGUGGACAUGUAGAUUGGAGACUAUUGUAAUAAUUAAAGCAAGAGAUGAUAGGGUUUGGACUGGUGUAUUUACUGGAGGCAGCAGAAACUUGUUGGGCUCAUGAUAUAACAGCUUAUAGGCUGUAAGAUAAAAAAUGAAAAAAAGGGUGUCUCCAUUUUAUUUUUAUUUUUUGCCUUAGCAAGUACAAGAAUGGAAUUGCUAUUAACUGAGAUAAACAAGACUGUGCAGGAAUUGGCAAAUAAUAUCAGGGUUAAAUUUUGGAUCUGGUGAGUUUGAGAGAAUGUCUAAAAAGAGAUCACGGGGAGAUGUCAAGGAAGUUGUCCUAGGUGAGCGUCUAAGAGUCUGGCGUUCAGAAGAUAUUUCAGUGCUGGGUAUAUAUAUUAGGAAGUCUUGGGUGUGAACGUGUUAUUGGUGACAUUUAAACCAAUAAGAAUGAAUGACAUUAGGAGGAGGCUGAGGUGGGAGAAUCAAAGCCAGGAGUUUACAGUGGGCCAUGACUGUGUCACUGCAGGAGUUUACAGUGGGCCAUGACUGUGUCACUGCACUCCAGCCUGGGCAAGAAAGAGAGACUCUGUCUCUAAAAGAAAAAAAAAAAAAAUAAAACGAUGAGAUUACCAAGAGAGUGUAUAUAGAUAAGAAAGAGAUCAGGCCUAGGACUAAGUCCUGGGGCAUUUCAGCCUUUCUACUCGCAUAACCUGAGUAAAUUCAGGUAUCUGAUUUAUUUAAUCCAGUAUUUGCUGCAUUUCUUUUUCUAAAGAGCACAUUUCUUUUCAAGAAUUACACAUUAAAAUUCCAGGGAACUUAAAUUAUGCAAAAUAUCCUUUGGGAAAUGAUUUAAUUUCAUUGCCUCAUCUUUCCACUUAAUGUUGCUUAUGUCAACAAUGCUAUUAAAUACGUACUUGCCUUUAUUUCAGUAGUUUUCAUAGUGAAAUUGGAAAGGUGAUAGGAUAAUCCAUUUGAUAAAACUGGCAAUAGCAUUAAAUCCUACCCUCCCCUUUUAUUAAUUUUCAAUUAUAAUCAUCAAAUCUUGAUCAGAAGCAAAGAAGUUUCAAGUCAUUUGUUUUCUUUCCCUCAAAAUAUUUAAACAAAAAUUUAGAAAAUUAUUUUAACAUGUUAAAAGACAGACCUUUCCUUCUAGUUGGAACUAUAAAUUCUCCAAGCCUGGUGUUCUUUAAGAAGGACAUUUAUUAUUUCUGUUACUUGGAGAUCUUCUCUCUUUUGAUAUACUUGAGUGUCUCAGAGAAGCUUCUUAAAGUGUAUUAGAAAAAACUGAAAAAUGAAGAUUCAAAUAUUGAUUUCAAUAUGCCAUAAACAUACUAAAUAAAUGUUGAUUAUUUCAACCUAUGCCACCUUGUAUAUGUGAACACAAAGCUCAUACAUAUACUCUUUUUCUUUUCUUUUCUUUUUCUUCUUUUUUUUUUCAGAAAUAAACACUAUCACUAACCAUCUGGUAUCCUAUGAUUCCUGAAAAUAAAAUCUAUUUCUAGGAACAAUUUAAACCGUAGAAGAACUUCACUGUGUCAUGAAUUAAACUUUCCUAUUUUUUUGUCUUUGGAUGACAUCCUCUGGGAAAGUGCCCCAUUUAUAUUUCAGUGACUUCAAUUCUGGUUGCUACCUUGUUCUCUAUUUUUUAAAGUAAAAAUAUUUGAUUUUUAACUACUACUUUCCCACACAGCAUAACAGUCAUCCUUUAGUAGAAUAUAUGCUAUAUCCAGAGAAUUCUUAUUUCUAUGAAGGAGGCAAACAGAUAAAAUUUGCAAUCUUUGGCCUUAGAGAAACAUGGUGGUCAAAAUUAGUAAGCAUUAUUGUUGUUUGUCUCACAUUAGCUUUACCUGAGACUAGAGCAUCUUUAACUUUGGACAUUAACAGAAAGCACAUUAUCAGCAUUUCCAC